AGUUUGAUCCUGGCUCAGGAUGAACGCUGGCGGCGUGCUUAACACAUGCAAGUCGAACGGGCUCAUAUUGAAACCUAGUGAUUUAUGAGUUAGUGGCGGACGGGUGAGUAACGCGUGGAAACCUGCCGUAUACUGGGGGAUAACACUUAGAAAUAGGUGCUAAUACCGCAUAAGCGCACAGCUUCGCAUGAAGUGGUGUGAAAAACUCCGGUGGUAUACGAUGGUUCCGCGUCUGAAAUUGCUUGUUGGUGGGGUAAUGGCUCACCAAGGCGACGAUCAGUAGCCGGCCUGAGAGGGUGAACGGCCACAUUGGGACUGAGACACGGCCCAAACUCCUACGGGAGGCAGCAGUGGGGAAUAUUGCACAAUGGGGGAAACCCUGAUGCAGCGACGCCGCGUGAGUGAAGAAGUAUUUCGGUAUGUAAAGCUCCAUCAGCAGGGAAGAAAUAGCGACCUUUGGGUCGCCAGACGGUACCUGAUUAAGAAGCCCCGGCUAACUACGUG
rnacentral:rRNA from 1 species